GAUGAACGCUGGCGGCGUGCCUAAUACAUGCAAGUCGAGCGAACAGAUAAGGAGCUUGCUCCUUUGACGUUAGCGGCGGACGGGUGAGUAACACGUGGGUAACCUACCUAUAAGACUGGGAUAACUUCGGGAAACCGGAGCUAAUACCGGAUAACAUUUGGAACCGCAUGGUUCUAAAGUGAAAGAUGGUUUUGCUAUCACUUAUAGAUGGACCCGCGCCGUAUUAGCUAGUUGGUAAGGUAACGGCUUACCAAGGCGACGAUACGUAGCCGACCGGAGAGGCUGAUCGGCCACACGGGAACUGAGACACGGUCCAGACUCCUACGGGAGGCAGCAGUAGGGAAUCUUCCGCAAUGGGCGAAAGCCUGACGGAGCAACGCCGCGUGAGUGAUGAAGGGUUUCGGCUCGUAAAACUCUGUUAUUAGGGAAGAACAAACGUGUAAGUAACUGUGCACGUCUUGACGGUACCUAAGCAGAAAGCCACGGCUAACUACGUG
rnacentral:rRNA from 1 species